GUGCUUAGCACAGCACAAAAAUUAAAAUUGAAAUGAUACAGAAAAGAUUAGCAUGGCUUCUGCAUAAGGAGGACAUGCAAAUUUGUGGAACAGUCCAUAUAAAA